AUUGAACGCUGGCGGCAGGCUUAACACAUGCAAGUCGAACGAGUGGCGGACGGGUUAGUAAUGCUUGGGAAUCUAGCUUAUGGUGGGGGAUAACUACGGGAAACUGUAGCUAAUACCGCGUACCAUAGGAUGAGCCCAAGUGGGAUUAGGUAGUUGGUGAGGUAAAGGCUCACCAAGCCGACGAUCUCUAGCUGUGCUGAGAGGAUGACCAGCCACACUGGGACUGGGACACGGCCCAGACUCCUACGGGAGGCAGCAGUGGGGAAUAUUGCACAAUGGGCGCAAGCCUGAUGCAGCCAUGUCGCGUGUAUGAAGAAGGCCUUCGGGUUGUAAAGUACUUUCAGUCGGGAGGCGUUACCGACAGAAGAAGCACCGGCUAACGCCGUGCCAGCAGCCGCGGUAAUAC
rnacentral:rRNA from 1 species